rnacentral:rRNA from 1 species
UUCGCAAUGCCCGAAAGGGUGAACGAGCGACGCCGCGUGCGGGAUGAAGGGUUUCGGCUUGUAAACCGCUUUUCUUUGGGAAGAAGGACUGUCUCGUGAAGAUGGGCUCGACGGUACCAGAGGAAUAAGCCUCGGCUAACUCCGUGCCAGCAGCCGCGGUAAGACGGAGGAGGCGAGCGUUGUUCGGAAUUAUUGGGCGUAAAGGGCGCGCAGGCGGUUGAGCAAGUCCAUUGUGAAAUCCCCACGGCUUAACCGGGGAACUGCAGUGGAUACUACUUGACUUGAGUGCAGGAGGGGAGAGUGGAAUUCCAGGUGGAGCGGUGAAAUGCGUAGAUAUCUGGAGGAACGCCGGUGGCGAAAGCGACUCUCUGGUCUGUAACUGACGCUGAGGUGCGAAAGCUAGGGGAGCAAACGGGAUUAGAUACCCCGGUAGUCCUAGCCCUAAACGAUGGGCACUAAGUAGAGGGGUUUU